rnacentral:rRNA from 1 species
CACGGGGGGAGCAAGCGUUGUUCGGAAUCACUGGGCGUAAAGGGCGUGUAGGCGGUUCGGUAAGUGGAAUGUGAAAUCCCUCGGCUCACCCGAGGACCUGCAUCCCAAACUGCCGAGCUUGAGUACUUAAGAGGAUCGCGGAAUUCCCGGUGUAGAGGUGAAAUUCGUAGAUAUCGGGAGGAACACCAGUGGCGAAGGCGGCGAUCUGGGAAGAUACUGACGCUGAGGUGCGAAAGCGUGGGGAGCAAACAGG